rnacentral:lncRNA from 1 species
AAGCCCCGCCGACUGCCCUUUGGUCUAAGUUAAAUUUUUUGAUGAUUUUUUGGGGGGUUUUCCGGCGCGAUCCUAGCGUCGCGCUACGCUCGGACAGGUUAUCCCUUCCCUCCCGCUAGAUUGAUGAGAUCAGGCAUC